CCCUGGGUAGCACAAAAGGUUGAGCACUUGACUACUAACCAAAUGGUUGGUGGUUCGAACCUACCCAAAGGCA
rnacentral:tRNA from 1 species